GUAGUUCGUUUUCCGUUCUAUCCUAUUUGAUCAUUGAUAUUCGAACAUGGCUCUCUUUCCUUUGUUCUAGUUCAUGAUCUGAACGAGUCGCACAUACACCCUAGUACAUGUUCCUCGACGCUGAGGGCAUCCCCGAAGCGCGGGGGAUUUUGUGACAUUUCUAAUUGGCUGUCUUGUAUUUCUAAUAAGUUGUUUAAUCGUUGGCAUGUUGAAUCAUAUACAUAAUGGACUGGUUUAGAUCGAUCCUAACCGCAUGAUUAUGAAUUCCUUUUAUUGAAUAGAAUAGUAAAUAAAAGUCAUAAUAUAUUAAUAUGAAACUCGGCAGGGGUAAUUUAAAAUCACGAAUUGAUGCGAAAUCCAGGCUAUGCUAUUGUCAUUCAACCGCUACAAGAUCAACAAUUCCAUAAGCUUGGGCCUCUGUUGCUGACAUAAAAACAUCUCUUUCCAUGUCUUCGGAGACAACCCAUAGGGGUUUGCCCGUUCUUUGUACAUAAACCCUUGUCAGGGUUUCACGUAGUUUCAGCAGUUCUCCCACUUCCAGGAUGAAUUCUCCCGUUGCUACUUCAGAAAAAGAACCAGCAGGUUGAUGGAUCAUUACCCUGAUGAUAUAAGAAAAUAAAAGGUUUCUUUAUUUCGCAUGAUAAAGGGAAGAGAAAACAAAGAUAAAAUAAUAACAAGAAAAAAAGAUAGAAUCGAACAACCGUACGGGCAUUAUGCAUUGCAUACGGCUCUACAAUAAAAUUGACCCUUACCUUACAUCAAAUAAAGAAAAAAUAGGAUCGAUCAGACCCCGAUCGGUAAAUGAUCAACUUACCACCCUUCCUUUCGGAGGAAUUCAAAAAUACUAUGAUGGCUCCGUUGCUUUAUAUAUUUAUUUUAUUAUAUUUUUUUGUCUGUGAUUUGUCUGUGAUUAAGCAAUCCCAAAGUUGCUUUUUUAUUUGAUCAAAUAAACUAAGGAAAAAAGAAUCUUGUUUUUUUUUUUUUUCGCUCUAUAAAUAUUGUUAAGAGACCUCUGGUGUGAAAAAAAGUUUGUGACGCUGAACUGGACUUCCGAUAAGAAAAUCGGAAAUACCUUUUUCUCAUAUUACUCUCUCGAUACAUAAUCUAAUGUUUUGAAAACAAAAUUUCUUAUAUCGAAUUCAAAGUGCCAUGCUAUUAUUACUUAAUAUUCAUAUUUCAUAUGGCGAAGGCAUAGUCUUCUUUUUUCUCUCAAAUAAAAGCCUCAUUGGCGCCAAGCGUGAGGGAAUGCUAGACGUUUGGUAAUUUCUCCUCCGACCAGGAUAAAAGAUCCCAUUGAAGCGGCUGAUCCCAUGCAUAUUGUAUGUACAUCUGGUUGCACAAAUUGCAUAGUAUCAUAAAGAGCCACCCCCGGUAUUACCCAUCCGCCAGGAGAGUUUAUAAACAAAUACAGAUCUUUGGUAUCAUCCUCGAUACUGAGAUAUAUCAUAAGACCAAUAAGUUGAUUCGAGAUCUCGCUAUCAACCUCUUGACCUAAAAAAAGUAAUCUUUCUCGAUAAAGUCGGUUGAUUAGGGUCAAAUCCCUUCGGAACCGUACAGGCGUCUUUUGAUGCAUACGGUUCAAAAAAAAAGAAUCAAUGUGUAGAUUCCAAUACUUUUUAUUUUUUCAUAGCAAGUUCCUUCUAACUUAUAAAAAAGGAUUUUCUUUUAUUUUUCACUAAACACGAGUUUGUCUUCCUUUCCUUAUUAACGUAUAAUAUCAAAAAAGAAUUCAUUAAACUUAUCCAAUUAACUUCUCAUUGAUGGAUUCUUUCAUCGCGAUUCAAUCCAAAUCACGAUGUUAUUUUCUUGUUCUUAAAUGGGCCUCUUUAAUCUUUUUAGGUUUAUGCUCUACUCCGGGUAAAGAUCCGCCCGAUUUUGAUUUGCACAUAUAGUACAAAUGCUCCCAUUACCACUUCUUUUUCUUAUGCCUUCUUUUUUUUUUUAAUUCACGCAUUCCGUAAAAUAGUUGACGGCUUCAUGCAUAUUACUCGAUUGAUUAACAUAAGAGUUUGAAAUAACUUCUACUUACAAAAAAGGAUUUCUUUCAAAUCAAAUAAAAAUAGGAAUCCUUUAUUAUAUAAAAUAGAUAUAUUAUCACUUGGUUUUUUUUAAACGGAGCCUGGAUACUUCAAUGUAGUAGUCCAAUUAAGCCAACCAUAAAUUCUUCUAAUUGAUAAUAGUAAUUUGAAUCCCCCCCAAAAAUGGAUCUAAUUGCACUUCACGCUCCAAAUUUUUGAUGAUUCAAUUAAUCUUUCGUGGGCGAAACAGAGGAUAUCUCGAUUGGGGAGAAAACGGGGAAAUCCCAUAUGACCCAAUAUAUCUGACAAGUCGCACUAUAUGUCAACCCAAGAUGCAUCUUCCUCUCCAGGACUUCGAAAAGGUACUUUUGGAACACCAAUAGGCAUUAAAUGAAAGAAAAAAGAACUCAGUACUAGAUUUUACUUUGAUGUGGAAACGUAACAAAGCCUUUAUUAUCUUUAUAAUUAUCUUUAUAAUAUUC
rnacentral:lncRNA from 1 species